rnacentral:rRNA from 1 species
CUUGCUGGAUGCUGACGAGCGGCGGACGGGUGAGUAAUGCAUAGGAAUCUGCCCGAUAGUGGGGGAUAACCUGGGGAAACCCAGGCUAAUACCGCAUACGUCCUACGGGAGAAAGGGGGCUCCGGCUCCCGCUAUGGGAUGAGCCUAUGUCGGAUUAGCUGGUUGGUGAGGUAACGGCUCACCAAGGCCACGAUCCGUAGCUGGUCUGAGAGGAUGAUCAGCCACAUCGGGACUGAGACACGGCCCGAACUCCUACGGGAGGCAGCAGUGGGGAAUAUUGGACAAUGGGGGAAACCCUGAUCCAGCCAUG